UAUAGGUAAGGAUGCUCUGUUAGUAGGCCAAGGAAAUAUUAAUGGAAGAAAGCAAUGUCCAGUACCUGAGCGUGAUAUGAGACCAGUCUCGGAAGUUCCCUAAUAAGAAGUUGGCUUCGAAUGAGAUGUCCCCAGAGAAGUUGAAGUGAGCUGGUUCUUUCCUCAUGAAAGUAUUUGGGGUUCUUGCUAUUCUAUUUCUAUCGCUUCUCUUGGUGAAUUUUGUUUUGUAGUUUGUUCUUUUCGCAAGAAAAGUUAAUUGCUUUACUUAUACUUCCAUAUAAUAACAGUUGAGUUUUGAUAAGGUGUUCAUAAACAACUUAAUCCACACCUUUUGUUAUGUAAUAUAUUCUACGAACACUUAUCUUCUGUUCUUUAUUGAACAUAAGGAUGCAAAUAAAUUUUGAUAUGGAUGUAAAUAGA